rnacentral:rRNA from 1 species
UACGUAGGGCGCAAGCGUUGUCCGGAAUUAUUGGGCGUAAAGAGCUCGUAGGCGGCUUGUCACGUCGGAUGUGAAAGCCCGAGGCUUAACCUCGAGCUGUCGGCGGAAACCAUCUGGCUAGAGUCCGGAAGAGGAGAAUGGAAUUCCCGGUGUAGCGGUGAAAUGCGCAGAUAUCGGGAAGAACACCCGUGGCGAAGGCGGCUCACUGGCCCGGUACUGACGCUGAGGUGCGAAAGCGUGGGGAGCAAA